GUUAUAUGGUCAAGCGAAUAAGCGCACACGGUGGAUGCCUUGGCGGUCAGAGGCGAUGAAGGACGUGGCAGCCUGCGAAAAGUAUCGGGGAGCUGGCAACAAGCUUUGAUCCGGUAAUGUCCGAAUGGGGAAACCCACCCGCUUGCGGGUAUCCUGCAGUGAAUACAUAGCUGCUGGAAGCGAACCUGGUGAACUGAAAUAUCUAAGUAACCAGAGGAAAAGAAAUCAACCGAGAUUCCGUAAGUAGCGACGAGCGAACGCGGACUAGCCCUUAAGCUGAUUUGGUUCUAGGAAAACGCUCUGGAAAGAGCGGCCAUAGAAGGUGAUAGCCCUGUAUCUGAAAGGGCCAUUUCAGUGAAGACGAGUAGGGCGGGGCACGUGAAACCCUGUCUGAACAUGGGGGGACCAUCCUCCAAGGCUAAAUACUACUGACCGACCGAUAGUGAACCAGUACCGUGAGGGAAAGGCGAAAAGAACCCCGGAGAGGGGAGUGAAAUAGAACCUGAAACCGUGUGCGUACAAGCAGUAGGAGCUCCGCAAGGAGUGACUGCGUACCUUUUGUAUAAUGGGUCAGCGACUUACUGUUCGUGGCAAGCUUAACCGUAUAGGGGAGGCGAAGGGAAACCGAGUCUGAUAAGGGCGCAUAGUCGCGGGCAGUAGACCCGAAACCGGGUGAUCUAGUCAUGCCCAGGGUGAAGGUGCGGUAACACGCACUGGAGGCCCGAACCCACUCCCGUUGCAAAGGUAGGGGAUGAGGUGUGAUUAGGAGUGAAAAGCUAAUCGAACCCGGAGAUAGCUGGUUCUCCUCGAAAGCUAUUUAGGUAGCGCCUCAUAUGUAUCCUCUCGGGGGUAGAGCACUGUUAUGGCUAGGGGGUCAUCGCGACUUACCAAACCAUUGCAAACUCCGAAUACCGAGACGGACUGUAUGGGAGACACACGGCGGGUGCUAACGUCCGUCGUGAAAAGGGAAACAACCCAGACCCACAGCUAAGGUCCCAAAUUCACUGCUAAGUGGAAAACCAUGUGGAAAGGCACAGACAGCCAGGAGGUUGGCUUAGAAGCAGCCACCCUUUAAAGAAAGCGUAAUAGCUCACUGGUCGAGUCGGUCUGCGGGGAAGAUUUAACGGGGCUAAGCAGUGAACCGAAGCUUGGGGUGCAUACUUUGUAUGCGCGGUAGAGGAGCGUUCCGUAAGCCGUUGAAGGUGGAUUGAGAAGUCUGCUGGAGGUAUCGGAAGUGCGAAUGCUGACAUGAGUAACGAUAAUGCGGGUGAAAAACCCGCACGCCGAAAGCCCAAGGUUUCCUUGCGCAACGUUAAUCGGCGCAGGGUGAGUCGGCCCCUAAGGCGAGGACGAAAGUCGUAGUCGAUGGGAAGCAGGUUAAUAUUCCUGCACCUCGCGUAAGUGCGAUGGAGGGACGGAGAAGGUUAGGUGUACCAGGCGUUGGUUGUCCUGGGGAAAGGCGGUAGGUUUGGAUCUUUGGCAAAUCCGGGAUCCUUUAAGACCGAGCACCGAGACGAGCCUUUAUGGCGAAGUCACUGAUACCACGCUUCCAGGAAAAGCUCCUAAGCUUCAGCUUACGCAGACCGUACCGUAAACCGACACAGGUGGGUAGGAUGAGAAUUCUCAGGCGCUUGAGAGAACUCGGGUGAAGGAACUAGGCAACAUGGCACCGUAACUUCGGGAGAAGGUGCACCCUUUUUGGUGGCUCAUGCGAGCUAUAGCUGAAGAGGGUCGCAGUAACCAGGCCGCUGCGACUGUUUAUCAAAAACACAGCACUCUGCAAACACGAAAGUGGACGUAUAGGGUGUGACGCCUGCCCGGUGCUGGAAGGUUAAUUGAUGGGGUCAGCCGCAAGGCGAAGCUCUUGAUCGAAGCCCCAGUAAACGGCGGCCGUAACUAUAACGGUCCUAAGGUAGCGAAAUUCCUUGUCGGGUAAGUUCCGACCUGCACGAAUGGCGUAACGACAGCGGCGCUGUCUCCACCCGAGACUCAGUGAAAUUGAAAUCGCUGUGAAGAUGCAGCGUUCCCGUGGCAAGACGGAAAGACCCCGUGAACCUUUACUAUAGCUUUACACUGAACGUUGAGUUCGUCUGUGUAGGAUAGGUGGGAGGCUAUGAAACUGUGGCGCUAGCUGCAGUGGAGCCAUCCUUGAAAUACCACCCUGUCGUGCUUGACGUUCUAACCUGGGCCCAUUAUCUGGGUCGGGGACCGUGUAUGGUGGGUAGUUUGACUGGGGCGGUCUCCUCCUAAAGAGUAACGGAGGAGCUCGAAGGUACGCUCAGCGCGGUCGGACAUCGCGCACUGUGUGCAAAGGCAUAAGCGUGCUUGACUGCAAGAUCGACGGAUCAAGCAGGUAGGAAACUAGGACUUAGUGAUCCGGUGGUUCUGUAUGGAAGGGCCAUCGCUCAACGGAUAAAAGGUACUCCGGGGAUAACAGGCUGAUACCGCCCAAGAGUUCAUAUCGACGGCGGUGUUUGGCACCUCGAUGUCGGCUCAUCACAUCCUGGGGCUGUAGUCGGUCCCAAGGGUAUGGCUGUUCGCCAUUUAAAGUGGUACGCGAGCUGGGUUCAGAACGUCGUGAGACAGUUCGGUCCCUAUCUGCCAUGGGCGUUGGAGAUUUGAGAGGGGCUGCUCCUAGUACGAGAGGACCGGAGUGGACGAACCUCUGGUGUUCCGGUUGUCACGCCAGUGGCAUUGCCGGGUAGCUAUGUUCGGAAGCGAUAACCGCUGAAAGCAUCUAAGCGGGAAGCGCGCCUCAAGAUGAGAUCUCCCGGGGCACAAGCCCCCUGAAGGAACCAUGUAGACUACGUGGUUGAUAGGUCAGGUGUGUAAGUACAGCAAUGUAUUGAGCUAACUGAUACUAAUGAUCCGAGAGGCUUGACCAUAUAACCU
rnacentral:rRNA from 1 species